rnacentral:rRNA from 1 species
AUGGAGAGGGUGCUCAAGGAUGAUGCUAUCCAGGAGAAGGCCGAGCGCGCCAGGAUGGCAUCUUUUGUAAGUGCCAUGGCGAACGCAGACUUAGCCAAGACCACAUCUGGACCAAAAGGAAUGGACAAUAUCCUUCAGUCAACUGGCCGAGGGCCGAGUGUCACCAUUACAAAUGAUGAUGCUCCCAUUUUGAAGUCACUUCAGAUCGACAACCCUGCUGCGAAGGUCCUUGUUGACAUCUCAAAAGUCCAAGAUGAUGAAGUUGGUGAUGGAACAGCUUCUGUUGUUAUUUUGGCUGGAAAACUGUUGAGGGAAGCUCAAAAGUUGGUUAACAUGAAGAAUCAUCCCAUGACUAUUAUUGCAGAUAAACCCAAAAAGACAAAACCUUUUAAGCGAGGGCAUAAAUAA